GAUGAACGCUGGCGGCGUGCCUAAUACAUGCAAGUCGAGCGAACAGAUGAGGAGCUUGCUCCUCUGACGUUAGCGGCGGACGGGUGAGUAACACGUGGAUAACCUACCUAUAAGACUGGGAUAACUUCGGGAAACCGGAGCUAAUACCGGAUAAUAUAUUGAACCGCAUGGUUCAAUAGUGAAAGACGGUUUUGCUGUCACUUAUAGAUGGAUCCGCGCCGCAUUAGCUAGUUGGUAAGGUAACGGCUUACCAAGGCAACGAUGCGUAGCCGACCUGAGAGGGUGAUCGGCCACACUGGAACUGAGACACGGUCCAGACUCCUACGGGAGGCAGCAGUCGGGAAUCUUCCGCAAUGGGCGAAAGCCUGACGGAGCAACGCCGCGUGAGUGAUGAAGGUCUUCGGAUCGUAAAACUCUGUUAUUAGGGAAGAACAAAUGUGUAAGUAACUAUGCACGUCUUGACGGUACCUAAUCAGAAAGCCACGGCUAACUACGUG
rnacentral:rRNA from 1 species